ensembl:snRNA U6 U6 spliceosomal RNA
GUGCUCAAUUUAUCAUCACAUACACUAACAUUGGAUUGAUACAGAGAAGAUUACCAUGCACCUUGUACAAGGAUGACAUGCAAAGUCUUGGAGCGUUCCAUAUUUUU